ACCUUGAAAUACCACCCUUUAAUGUUUGAUGUUCUAACGUGGACCCGUUACCCGGGUUGCGGACAGUGUCUGGUGGGUAGUUUGACUGGGGCGGUCUCCUCCUAAAGAGUAACGGAGGAGCACGAAGGUUGGCUAAUCCUGGUCGGACAUCAGGAGGUUAGUGCAAUGGCAUAAGCCAGCUUGACUGCGAGCGUGACGGCGCGAGCAGGUGCGAAAGCAGGUCAUAGUGAUCCGGUGGUUCUGAAUGGAAGGGCCAUCGCUCAACGGAUAAAAGGUACUCCGGGGAUAACAGGCUGAUACCGCCCAAGAGUUCAUAUCGACGGCGGUGUUUGGCACCUCGAUGUCGGCUCAUCACAUCCUGGGGCUGAAGUAGGUCCCAAGGGUAUGGCUGUUCGCCAUUUAAAGUGGUACGCGAGCUGGGUUUAGAACGUCGUGAGACAGUUCGGUCCCUAUCUGCCGUGGGCGCUGGAGAACUGAGGGGGGCUGCUCCUAGUACGAGAGGACCGGAGUGGACGCAUCACUGGUGUUCGGGUUGUCAUGCCAAUGGCACUGCCCGGUAGCUAAAUGCGGAAGAGAUAAGUGCUGAAAGCAUCUAAGCACGAAACUUGCCCCGAGAUGAGUUCUCCCUGAGACUUAGAGUCUCCUGAAGGAACGUUGAAGACGACGACGUUGAUAGGCCGGGUGUGUAAGCGCAGCGAUGCGUUGAGCUAACCGGUACUAAUGAACCGUGAGGCUUAACCUUACAACGCCGAAGGUGUUU
rnacentral:rRNA from 1 species